rnacentral:piRNA from 1 species
UCCAAAGUAUUCAAGUAAAUGUGCCACCUCC